rnacentral:rRNA from 1 species
UGGGGAAUAUUGGACAAUGGGCGAAAGCCUGAUCCAGCCAUGCCGCGUGUGUGAAGAAGGUCUUCGGAUUGUAAAGCACUUUAAGUUGGGAGGAAGGGCAGUAAGCGAAUACCUUGCUGUUUUGACGUUACCGACAGAAUAAGCACCGGCUAACUCUGUGCCAGCAGCCGCGGUAAUACAGAGGGUGCAAGCGUUAAUCGGAAUUACUGGGCGUAAAGCGCGCGUAGGUGGUUCGUUAAGUUGAAUGUGAAGGCCCCGGGCUCAACCUGGGAACUGCAUCCAAAACUGGCGAGCUAGAGUAGGGCAGAGGGUGGUGGAAUUUCCUGUGUAGCGGUGAAAUGCGUAGAUAUAGGAAGGAACACCAGUGGCGAAGGCGACCACCUGGGCUCAUACUGACACUGAGGUGCGAAAGCGUGGGGAGCAAACAGG